rfam:Gossypium raimondii Chr10_contig_1442, whole genome shotgun sequence.
UAUUAAAAAUUUUAUCCAUUUGUACUGUUAAAAACUGACAUGGUUGACAGAAUAACCCGACAAUGACUAGUGGCAUGUCACAUGUACCUCAUGCUAACAGAUAUGAACCAAUUUUUAAUAGUAGAAAUGAAUGAAUUUUUUAACA